rnacentral:rRNA from 1 species
AUAUAACUAAGCGGAGGAGAAGAAACUAACCAGGAUUCCCCUAGUAACUGCGAGUGAAGCGGGAAGAGCUCAGACUGAAAAUCUUCGGAGUUGUAGUCUGUCGAGGUCAAGUCAAUCAGUGUCGUCGAGCGAAGUGUGGUUGAAUCCACUGCCGAGGAGGGUGAAAGCCCCGUGCCCGCUUGAAUGUAUCUGGUGUACGACUGGCCUUCAACGAGUCGAGUUGUUUGGGAUUGCAGCUCUAAGCGGGUGGUAAAUUCCAUCUAAAGCUAAAUAUGGGUGGGAGACCGAUAGCGCACAAGUA